rnacentral:piRNA from 1 species
UGUGAAAAGAUGAUGCGCUUGACAGGUUUG